GUCGAGCGGACAGAUGGGAGCUUGCUCCCUGAAGUCAGCGGCGGACGGGUGAGUAACACGUGGGCAACCUGCCUGUAAGACUGGGAUAACUCCGGGAAACCGGGGCUAAUACCGGAUAAUUCUUUCCCUCACAUGAGGGAAAGCUGAAAGAUGGUUUCGGCUAUCACUUACAGAUGGGCCCGCGGCGCAUUAGCUAGUUGGUGAGGUAACGGCUCACCAAGGCAACGAUGCGUAGCCGACCUGAGAGGGUGAUCGGCCAC
rnacentral:rRNA from 1 species